rnacentral:lncRNA from 1 species
UUUUCUCAUUUUUCAUUUAAUCAUUUUAUUUUGAUUAAUUCAUAUCAAUUUCAUUUUUAAUACAAAAAAUAUGGGACUUGCACAAAAAAUCUUUAAAUAUUCUCGUCUUUCAUUUUCUGAAAUAAAAUUAUUUUUUGGAUUAAUUUUAAAAUUUUUCAUGAAGUAAUUGUUUUUGUGCAUAUUUUUAAUUGUUUAAAAAUACUUCUA